GACUAUGUGCAAUGGUGGUGUUGAAUGUAUAUUCAACUGCAUAAUGUGUGUUGAAACCAUUGGAGCAGCCAUGUUGAAUCUGAGCUGGAUGAAAGAGGAGAUGAAAAUUUUCAACUCAGUUGAAACUGACACGGGGGGACAGCUGGCGCGCUUCCAUUUGCCCAAGACAGGCGCGUGUGGCACACGCGCCGACAAACCGCGUGAAGAAGCA
rnacentral:lncRNA from 1 species